AUACGUAGGGGGCGAGCGUUGUCCGGAAUGAUUGGGCGUAAAGGGCGCGUAGGCGGCCGAGUAAGUCUGGAGUGAAAGUCCUGUUUUCAAGAUGGGAAUUGCUUUGGAUACUGUCGGGCUUGAGUGCAGGAGAGGUAAGUGGAAUUCCCAGUGUAGCGGUGAAAUGCGUAGAGAUUGGGAGGAACACCAGUGGCGAAGGCGACUUACUGGACUGUAACGGACGCUGAGGCGCGAAAGUGUGGGGAGCAAACAGGAUUAGAUACCCUGGUAGUCCACACUGUAAACGAUGAAUUCUAGGUGUAGGGGGUAUCGACCCCUUCUGUGCCGCAGUCAACACAAUAAGCAUUCCGCCUGGGGAGUACGGCCGCAAGGUUGAAACUCAAAGGAAUUGACGGGG
rnacentral:rRNA from 1 species